rnacentral:tRNA from 2 species
GGCCUCGUGGCGGAGUGGUGACGCAGAGGACUGCAAAUCCUUGUACGGGGGUUCGAUUCCCUCCGAGGCCUCCA